GGGCAGGUGGCGGAGAGGAUGAACGCGCCCGGUUGCUAACCGGGUGUGCCCCAAAGGCACCGCGGGUUCGAAUCCCGCCCUGCCCGCCA
rnacentral:tRNA from 1 species